UACGAGGGGGGCAAGCGUUGUUCGGAAUUACUGGGCGUAAAGGGCGCGUAGGCGGCCUGUUAAGUCGAACGUGAAAUCCCCGGGCUCAACCCGGGAACUGCGUCCGAUACUGGCAGGCUUGAAUUCGGGAGAGGGAUGUGGAAUUCCAGGUGUAGCGGUGAAAUGCGUAGAUAUCUGGAGGAACACCGGUGGCGAAGGCGACAUCCUGGACCGGUAUUGACGCUGAGGCGCGAAAGCCAGGGGAGCAAACGGG
rnacentral:rRNA from 1 species